CACAGCCAUCUGCCUGCUGACAGGUGAGGCGCCCCAACAGAAACAAACUGUGACGACAGCGAAGUGGCUGCUGCCACUGUUUACACCAGGAGUGUAAGGCUCUUCCCAUCAUUCCCAGUGGACCCACUGGUGAAACGUCCCAGCAGCAGAAGUAAAGACACUUACAGCCUCGUUACAAAAGCUGUUUGAGAGUGGAAAGUCCCCCGGCUUAAAGCAGCACAAUGACAGAGUCUCAUUAAGCGAGUCGGAUGCCAGGUGAGGCGCCUGACGUCGGAGCCAACCUGAAAGCACCACCGUUUCUGCCCUACGUCAGCACACGUUACCAAUCUGCCUCUUGUCAAGAAGAGAAAAGAGGAAAACUCGUGUAAAAUGUUGUGCCAGAAAUGUCGUCGUGUUUCCUAAUUUGCAUCCUCAGCUCCUCCUUUGCUAAGUGUUUUUAGUCCAUCCAGCAGCUCCUGCUGCUAAACGCUCCUCUGGGUUCAGAUAAAACAGAAAACCUCCCUGCCCGUCGUGUCGUCUGUCUGCGUCCCUGUCGCUCUCCUGCAGGACCAGCUGACGUCCAGGAGCCGCCGCUUUGGCCCCGCCGCUCCUCCUCAGCAGCCGGCCGCCGACUGAUGGCUGCCUAACGUGUUUUAGGUGGCCGCUCAUGUGCCUGCUGGGCAAACCGGCCGAGUCGACAGCGAGUGUUAACAAGCUGGAAACAGACACCGAGUGAAGCCUGACUGCAGAGAAAGGAGAAACACAAACAGAGAAAUAAAAUGUUUAAACACUGAGGACUGAAAUGUUUGGUGGAGGAACUGAAGUUUCUUUCAAGGAAGGAAUUAGUUUGUUUUGGGUUUUCUGCAUUGUUGAUGUAACCUGGAAAUGUUUUAACAAUCUGUCCACAGAAACCAAAAUUUUUACUUUUAUAAAAUAAAAUAUAUUUCUCUAUCAAGGUAUAUUGAAGUAUUGAGUCGGUAAAUUAGUAAUAUAGGUUUUUUAUUUGUUAUCUUUAUAUCUAUACACUUUGCCUGUUUAAAAAUGGAUGGUUGAUGUUUUU